GUGCUCACUUCAGCAGCACAUAGACUGAAAUUGGAACAAUACAGAGCAGAUUAGCAUGACACCUGCUCGAUGAUGUUGUACAAAUUCAGGAGGCAUUUCCUAUUUUU
ensembl:snRNA U6 U6 spliceosomal RNA